rnacentral:rRNA from 1 species
AGUGAACGCUGGCGGUAGGCCUAACACAUGCAAGUCGAACGGCAGCACAGGAGAGCUUGCUCUCUGGGUGGCGAGUGGCGGACGGGUGAGGAAUACAUCGGAAUCUACUUUUUCGUGGGGGAUAACGUAGGGAAACUUACGCUAAUACCGCAUACGACCUACGGGUGAAGGCAGGGGACCUUCGGCCCUUGCGCGAUGGAAUGAGCCGAUGUCGGAUUAGCUAGUUGGCGGGGUAAAGGCCCACCAAGGCGACGAUCCGUAGCUGGGCUGAGAGGAUGAUCAGCCACACUGGAACUGAGACACGGUCCAGACUCCUACGGGAGGCAGCAGUGGGGAAUAUUGGACAACGGGCGCAAGCCUGAUCCAGCCAUACCGCGUGGGUGAAGAAGGCCUUCGGGUUGUAAAGCCCUUUUGUUGGGAAAGAAAUCCAGCUGGCUAAUACCCGGUUGGGAUGACGGUGCCCAAAGAAUAAGCACCGGCUAACUUCGUGCCAGCCGCCGCUGUAA